rnacentral:tRNA from 1 species
GCUAGAAUGCAGCUUAGUGGUAGAGCAUUUGCCUAGUAUGCACAAGGCACUGGGUUCAAUCCCAAGUACUACCA